AGAGUUUGAUCCUGGCUCAGAUUGAAUUUUGGCGGCAGGCCUAACACAUGCAAGUCGAACGGUAACAGGAAGAAGCUUGCUUCUUUGCUGACGAGUGGCGGACGGGUGAGUAAUGUCUGGGAAACUGCCUGAUGGAGGGGGAUAACUACUGGAAACGGUAGCUAAUACCGCAUAACGUCGCAAGACCAAAGAGGGGGACCUUCGGGCCUCUUGCCAUCGGAUGUGCCCAGAUGGGAUUAGCUUGUUGGUGGGGUAACGGCUCACCAAGGCGACGAUCCCUAGCUGGUCUGAGAGGAUGACCAGCCACACUGGAACUGAGACACGGUCCAGACUCCUACGGGAGGCAGCAGUGGGGAAUAUUGCACAAUGGGCGCAAGCCUGAUGCAGCCACGCCGCGUGUAUGAAGAAGGCCUUCGGGUUGUAAAGUACUUUCAGCGGGGAGGAAGGGAGUAAAGUUAAUACCUUUGCUCAUUGACGUUACCCGCAGAAGAAGCACCGGCUAACUCCGUGCCAGCAGCCGCGGUAAUACGGAGGGUGCAAGCGUUAAUCGGAAUUACUGGGCGUAAAGCGCACGCAGGCGGUUUGUUAAGUCAGAUGUGAAAUCCCCGGGCUCAACCUGGGAACUGCAUCUGAUACUGGCAAGCUUGAGUCUCGUAGAGGGGGGUAGAAUUCCAGGUGUAGCGGUGAAAUGCGUAGAGAUCUGGAGGAAUACCGGUGGCGAAGGCGGCCCCCUGGACGAAGACUGACGCUCAGGUGCGAAAGCGUGGGGAGCAAACAGGAUUAGAUACCCUGGUAGUCCACGCCGUAAACGAUGUCGACUUGGAGGUUGUGCCCUUGAGGCGUGGCUUCCGGAGCUAACGCGUUAAGUCGACCGCCUGGGGAGUACGGCCGCAAGGUUAAAACUCAAAUGAAUUGACGGGGGCCCGCACAAGCGGUGGAGCAUGUGGUUUAAUUCGAUGCAACGCGAAGAACCUUACCUGGUCUUGACAUCCACGGAAGUUUUCAGAGAUGAGAAUGUGCCUUCGGGAACCGUGAGACAGGUGCUGCAUGGCUGUCGUCAGCUCGUGUUGUGAAAUGUUGGGUUAAGUCCCGCAACGAGCGCAACCCUUAUCCUUUGUUGCCAGCGGUCCGGCCGGGAACUCAAAGGAGACUGCCAGUGAUAAACUGGAGGAAGGUGGGGAUGACGUCAAGUCAUCAUGGCCCUUACGACCAGGGCUACACACGUGCUACAAUGGCGCAUACAAAGAGAAGCGACCUCGCGAGAGCAAGCGGACCUCAUAAAGUGCGUCGUAGUCCGGAUUGGAGUCUGCAACUCGACUCCAUGAAGUCGGAAUCGCUAGUAAUCGUGGAUCAGAAUGCCACGGUGAAUACGUUCCCGGGCCUUGCACUCACCGCCCGUCA
rnacentral:rRNA from 1 species